ACUUGCCUUGGGCGAACACACGUGCUACAAUGGGAGUAUACAGAAAGCUGCAAUACCGCGAGGUGGAGCCAAUCUCUAAAAUAUCUCUCAGUUCGGAUUGUAGUCUGCAACUCGACUACAUGAAGUCGGAAUCGCUAGUAAUCGUAGAUCAGCUAUGCUACGGUGAAUACGUUCCCGGGUCUU
rnacentral:rRNA from 1 species